GAGGAACUGCCCGUCCUGGCUCACACGGACCCUGCCGGACAGCAGCAAGGAGAGCCGGUCGAUGGGAGUCUUGCCCUCUACUGCGUAGUUCUGGUCUCGGCCUAGUGACUGCACUUGCUCUUCACAGCACUUCACAAUUUCUCUGUAGACUUCCAGGGGCACCACACACAUCAUCUUGCUCACCCCACUCAUAUCUUGAAGCCCAGAGCUCUCAUACACUCCUUGUGAGCUUCAAUUAAAUGCCCGCAGUUUUCUUCCCCCUUCUCAAUGAUGCAGGCGUCCCGCGCCUUCUUGGUCUCAGGACAGGCGCAGCACGGCUUCAGCGGCUUCUUCUCGUCCCGUGCCUCCCCGGCGCCCUUGGAGUCGCAGCUGACGGCCGCUACCGUCGACAUGGCGAGCAGCUCGCUGCUGUCACGGCCUACUGGAGACAGGGGGCCUGCAGCGAGCUUGGCUUCCGGGAGG
rnacentral:lncRNA from 1 species